rnacentral:rRNA from 1 species
GUACACUCCUACGGGAGGCAGCAGUGGGGAAUAUUGGACAAUGGGCGCAAGCCUGAUCCAGCCAUGCCGCGUGAGUGAUGAAGGCCCUAGGGUUGUAAAGCUCUUUCACCGGUGAAGAUAAUGACGGUAACCGGAGAAGAAGCCCCGGCUAACUUCGUGCCAGCAGCCGCGGUAAUACGAAGGGGGCUAGCGUUGUUCGGAUUUACUGAGCGUAAAGCGCACGUAGGCGGACUAUUAAGUCAGGGGUGAAAUCCCGGGGCUCAACCCCGGAACUGCCUUUGAUACUGGUAGUCUUGAGUUCGAGAGAGGUGAGUGGAAUUCCGAGUGUAGAGGUGAAAUUCGUAGAUAUUCGGAGGAACACCAGUGGCGAAGGCGGCUCACUGGCUCGAUACUGACGCUGAGGUGCGAAAGCGUGGGGAGCAAACAGGAUUAGAUACCCUUGUAGUCCC